rnacentral:rRNA from 1 species
GACGGAGGAUGCAAGCGUUAUCCGGAAUUAUUGGGCGUAAAGGGUGCGUAGGUGGUCAGACAAGUCCCAUGUCAAAGCAUGGUGCUUAACGCCAUAAAGGCGUGGGAAACUGUGUGACUAGAGUACAGCAGGGGCAGGAGGAAUUCCCGGUGUAGCGGUGAAAUGCGUAGAGAUCGAGAAGAACACCAGUGGCGCAAGCGUUCUGCUGGGCUGUAACUGACACUGAGGCACGAAAGAUAGGGGAGCGAAAGGG